rnacentral:rRNA from 1 species
ACUGAACGCUGGCGGCAUGCCUUACACAUGCAAGUCGAACGGCAGCACGGGAGCAAUCCUGGUGGCGAGUGGCGAACGGGUGAGUAAUAUAUCGGAACGUGCCCAGUCGUGGGGAUAACGUAGCGAAAGCUACGCUAAUACCGCAUACGAUCUAUGGAUGAAAGCGGGGGAUCGCAAGACCUCGCGCGAUUGGAGCGGCCGAUAUCAGAUUAGGUAGUUGGUGAGGUAAAGGCUCACCAAGCCGACGAUCUGUAGCUGGUCUGAGAGGACGACCAGCCACACUGGGACUGAGACACGGCCCAGACUCCUACGGGGGGCAGCAGUGGGGAAUUUUGGACAAUGGGCGCAAGCCUGAUCCAGCAAUGCCGCGUG